GAUGAACGCUGGCGGCGUGCUUAACACAUGCAAGUCGAACGGUGAAGCAGGAGCUUGCUCUUGUGGAUCAGUGGCGAACGGGUGAGUAACACGUGAGCGACCUGCCCCUGACUCUGGGAUAAGCGCUGGAAACGGCGUCUAAUACUGGAUAUGUGAUGUGACCGCAUGGUCUGCAUCUGGAAAGAAUUUCGGUUGGGGAUGGGCUCGCGGCCUAUCAGCUUGUUGGUGAGGUAAUGGCUCACCAAGGGGUCGACGGGUAGCCGGCCUGAGAGGGUGACCGGCCACACUGGGACUGAGACACGGCCCAGACUCCUACGGGAGGCAGCAGUGGGGAAUAUUGCACAAUGGGCGGAAGCCUGAUGCAUCAACGCCGCGUGAGGGAUGACGGCCUUCGGGUUGUAAACCUCUUUUAGCAGGGAAGAAGCGAAAGUGACGGUACCUGCAGAAAAAGCACCGGCUAACUACGUGCCAGCAGCCGCCGCCG
rnacentral:rRNA from 1 species